CAUAUACUCCCUCCGUUCGGAAUUACUUGUCUCGGAAAUGGAUGUAUCUAGAACUAAAAUACAUCUAGAUACAUCCAUUUCUACGACAAGUAAUUCCGAACGGAGGGAGUAGCAU
rnacentral:pre_miRNA from 1 species